rnacentral:rRNA from 1 species
AACGAACGCUGGCGGCAUGCCUAACACAUGCAAGUCGAACGAGACCUUCGGGUCUAGUGGCGCACGGGUGCGUAACGCGUGGGAACCUGCCCUUAGGUUCGGAAUAACUCCCCGAAAGGGGUGCUAAUACCGGAUAAUGUCUUCGGACCAAAGAUUUAUCGCCUUUGGAUGGGCCCGCGUUGGAUUAGCUAGUUGGUAGGGUAAAAGCCUACCAAGGCGACGAUCCAUAGCUGGUCUGAGAGGAUGAUCAGCCACACUGGGACUGAGACACGGCCCAGACUCCUACGGGAGGCAGCAGUGGGGAAUAUAGGACAAUGGGCGAAAGCCUGAUCCAGCAAUGCCGCGUGAGUGAUGAAGGCCUUAGGGUUGUAAAGCUCUUUUACCCGGGAUGAUAAUGACAGUACCGGGAGAAUAAGCACCGGCUAACUCCGUG